GAUGAACGCUGGCUACAGGCUUAACACAUGCAAGUCGAGGGGAAACGACGGGGAAGCUUGCUUCCCCGGGCGUCGACCGGCGCACGGGUGAGUAACGCGUAUCCAACCUGCCUCUGACUGAGGGAUAACCCGUCGAAAGUCGGCCUAAUACCUCAUGGCAUCGUCUGCGGGCAUCCAACGACGAUUAAAGAUUUCAUCGGUCAGGGAUGGGGAUGCGUCUGAUUAGCUAGUUGGCGGGGUAACGGCCCACCAAGGCUACGAUCAGUAGGGGUUCUGAGAGGAAGGUCCCCCACAUUGGAACUGAGACACGGUCCAAACUCCUACGGGAGGCAGCAGUGAGGAAUAUUGGUCAAUGGGCGAGAGCCUGAACCAGCCAAGUAGCGUGCAGGAUGACGGCCCUAUGGGUUGUAAACUGCUUUUAUGCGGGGAUAAAGUGAGGGACGUGUCCUUCAUUGCAGGUACCG
rnacentral:rRNA from 1 species